CCUGUACAGAGGCUUCGGGAAUAUUCGCACCGCUGUGAUGUAGUACUCUUGUUAAUUAAAGUUAAUCUCACGUCAAGGCUGACCUGACCAAGGCUACAGCAGGUCACACAGGGCUGUCACCUACCAAAACAACCCUCGCUUAUCAUCACCACAAGCUCUUUAGUGGGUGUGCGUUUAGGGCAGGCUGUGGUGGUAAUUACAACAUUUCUAGCACAUCCAGCCUAGUUUUGACAAGCCAACAGACGUGUUUAUGUCACAAGGGGUGUUCUUUUCCGUGCGGGCUCUUCCCUUUCUUCACCCCGGAGCUCGCAGUCUCUCUCUCUCUCUCUCUCUCUCUCUCUCUCUCUCUCUCUCUCUCUCUCUCUCUCUCUCUCUCUCUCUCUCUCCCCAAAUAUCAAUGCUUUUUUUAGUUAAUAGCUUACUACUACUACUACAUGUCUCAUCGCACAUUGACUUAGGUGAGGGGUGGGAAGGCACCUGGCACCUGUAACAUCAGUGUGGAGCUGCUCAAAGCUGGACGUGAGGCUGUGAUCCGCGGGUUGCAUGUGGUCUUGACUGUCUGGUACCAUUCCUCCUGACUGGGUUGGUCGUCCCUAUCUGGAAAGGGAAAGGGGACCGCCAGGACUGCAACAAGUACCGUGGUAGUACACUGCUCAGUGUGCCAGGCAAUGCCCACCUAUUGCUGAUGUAAAUUCGCAGCCAGCUGCUGAAGGUGCAGAGACCUGAACAGUCUGGCCUGGCAAGUCAACACCUGAGCACCGUAUCCUGGCGUACUUACUUGUUACUUGUUACUUGUGUUUCUUAUUUAUCUGGUCCCACUUCCGCCGAAGCGCUCUGCAGGACCCACAUAUUUAAUUCAUUAAAUUUUCAAUAUUGAUCACAACUUCUAUGCCAUGAUAAUUGUCAAUGUUUCCGUGUCAUAGCAGUCAGAGAACAGAAAUGUUUUUAGUCCUUUCUUAAAUUUGGAGAUAUCCUUUGUUCUUCUAAUGUCAGGAGGGAGCUUAUUGUACAGUCUUGGGGUGGCAGAACUGAAAGCGCGCAAUCCAACAUUUGAAGAGUACCAUGAAGUGUGAUUCCAGAAGUGGCUCGGCAAGUGUUAAUGCCUUCACCUGGCUGUAUUUCGUGUAAUAAUUCUCUCAAAUACGGCCAGUGAUCAAAGCUUGGUGUGUCAAAACACAUAACUUAAAUACUAUCCUUGCUUUUAUUGGCAACCAGUGGAGCUCUAUCAGAACAGGAGUUAUUCUCUCUCGUGGUGGAAUUCCUUUGAUUAGUCUCGCUGCUCUGUUUAAGAUCAUCUGUAAUUUCCUUAAUUGGAGCUUUGGCAGGUUAUAGUAGAUCGAGUUGCAAUAAUCCACUCUUGAUAUAAUAUUGUUAAUCACCAAUUUCUUGAUCCAGGUAUUUCUUGAUAAAAGCAAUAUUUCUAAGGUGAUAUCCAGCUAUCCUUACGACAUUAUUUAUCUGACAUUUCAGUGUCAAAUUGGAAUCCAGCAACACUCCCAAGUCACGAACACUUUCAACAAUAUGAAUUUCAUUACCACCUAUAAUCAUGUUCCCGUCACCAAAAUAACGUAGUGUCCUUCUUCCCCACAAACAUGAAUUCAGUCUUAUCAUCGUUUAAUUUCAAUUGCUUAUAAUGCAUCCAAUCCUUCCUUGACUGAAUUAAUAACACUAUUGAUCUUAGCACUUGUAUUUUCAAUAUCACUGAUGGAAAAGUAGAACUGGGUGUCAUCAGCAAAUAACUGCUCAUCGGGUGUCUCUGUGAGAGACAAUCCUGAGUGGAGGAAGCCAAGGGGACAUCCACGGACUUAGUGGCUGGAGCAAGUUAUAGUAGAUCCUGCAGGGAGGUACUCAGGAUGGCCUGCAGGGAGAAAUGCCCGGAGGGACCCCUGGGCUUGGCGUCGUAGGGUGGGCGAGGCGACGCGCCCCCCUGCGUAUGCCCCCAUUGAUUGAUUGAUUGUGGUGGUGGUGUAUGUGUGUGUGUGUGUGUGUGUGUGUGUGUGUAUUUACCUAGUUUUAGCUUUAUAGGCCCGGGCUUACGCUGGUGUGGUCCCGUCUCCAUAUCUGCAUUUAUCCAACUUUUCCUUGAAGCUUUGCACACUGCCAAUACUACAUCCUCACCGUUCCAAAGCUCUAUAUCUCUUUGCAGGAAGCUAUAUUUCUUUAUGUCUCUCAGGCAUCUUCCCUCCCUCAAUUUUUCAUCCUCUGUGCAGGGAUAUGAACCUUUAUCUGACUAAUGAGACUUUCUUUCAGGGCUGUGAGGAGGAGGAGGAGGGAGGCUGUGGUGAGGUGGAGACUUGACAACACUACCAUCGCCAUCAGGCCAGGCUAAGGCCAAGCAGUGCAGAGGAGAAGGAGGAGGAAGAAGAAGAGGAGGAUGUGAGUUCUAUACAUAAAGGCAGAUCAAUAUAUAGAAGCUUAUGGAGUAGAGGAAAUAUGUCAUUCUAUGUAUUAAAGAGGAUAAGAGGGAGGAGAAGGUUAACUUGUAAAUAUAGGCAGAAGUUUAUGUGCCAAGGAAAAUAUUUAAAUGAUUUGUAUUAUGCAUGUAUUGAAAUGGUAUGAACUUGGAUGUUUGUAUGUAUAUGGCUAUGGGAUUUACUUACAAGGUCUGUGGUGUUUUUUUUACUUAUAAGGUUGUACUCAGGAUUUUACUUAUAAGUUCUGUGGCUGUGGGUACCUCCUACAAAGCCUUUCUACUAUGGCUAUUAAUUAACAAAAUCCUCUUUCUUUCAGCUUGUGUACUGGCUCAGAAAGUAGUGAAAGGGUGCAUGUUAUCUAUGAAGGCUAUAUCAAUAAGUAUGGAAGUGUGUUAUGGCUAUUAACAACAAUCUCUCUUUCAGCAUGUGUACGGGGUUAGAAAGUUACUUGGCAUGUAUUGAAAUGUCAUGCACUGAGAGUAUUUACGUAAAGGGCCAGGUUAUUUCUUAUAAGGUACUACGCAUGAUUUUACAUAUACAGCCUUUAGUGUUUCUUUAGGUUAAGGUAUUUCCUAUCCCAGUACGUAUAAGCAACCUGGGUAUGGAUUUAUGUGUGAGUUACUGAGUUGCAUGUAUACUAAAAUGUGUAUUUGGGAUUUUCAUCUUCUGUGUUUUAUAUAUAUAUAUCCUAAGAAUGGUGUUUUGUUGGGAAAGAAUGUUAUGCACUGGGGUUAUUUAUAUACAAAGUCUGUGGUUAUUUCUUCAUAAGGUAUUUCCUAUCCCAGUACGUAUAAGGAACUUGGUAUGGAUUUAAAUGUGCGUGUUACUGAGUUGCAUGUGUAUGUGCAUUCAAUGUAUUGGGGUAUAUAUUGUGUAUUGGGGGUAUUUAUUUCAAGGUUAAAGUACUGAAUGGAGGGGAAUUUAUGUAGGGGAAAGGUCUGUAGUGGGGGUGUCGUAACUAACAACCUCUCCUGCAACAACUCCUACUGGUGCUUGUGUAUAGAUUUAAUUAUGUAUUGGAGAUAUGUAUUUGAAGGUUAAGAUACUGGAUGGAAGGGUAUUUAUGUUGGGGUAAUAUGAUAAUGUCUGUAGGGAUUUGUCUUAACUUAACAACCCCUUCUGCAAUAGCUACUACUACUACUGGUGCUGUCCAUAACUUACAACACUUCCGUACUUGGAGUAUUAACAAAACCUUUUAAUUUCAGCUACCAAGGACAACCUCUGCUGCUCCGGGUAUCAACUCCUGCACUCCUGGGACUGGCAUAACAUCUGCAUGCCCUUGUAACAACUCACUCUGCUUCUGCUAUUCAUAACACCCCGUUCUGCGUCUGCUGUCGUAACAGGGCAUGGCUUCUGUAUACUAACUCCUGCUCGCAUAACCCGCAUGGAUUUACACUUCUCUCUCUGCUUCUGCUUUCGUAUCAACACAUUCUGCGCCUUCCUUCGUAACUAAUCCCACGGCUUCUCUGCAUGACAACUCCAGCUGCUUAUGGCAAAAUUUCGCAUAACAGCUACUCCUGCUUACGUAUGACAAUUCUCUCUGGCUUCCAUAACAGCACGUAUGGCUUUUGCAUGUGAACGCAUUUCAUUUCUGCUGCACACUAACCCACACUGCUGGUAUGAGUAUCCUAACGACCUAACCCAUUCUGUAAGCUGCCGCCCAGUGCUUCAGGUGACCCCUAACAAGCCUGUCGGAUCGGCGUCUAGCGAGGGAGGUUCCGUCAGGUUCCGUUCCCUGCUAGAGCUGUCUCCCUUCACCUUAAAAAAUAUAGUUUGACAUAAUUUGAGAGCAGCAGUACAGGCCAGGUAUCAGAGAGGGUUCAGGCCUAUGGGGACACCUCUGUUAGGCUUGUACCUCAAUAAAUAACUAGAAAAAAGUUGGAAAGUGUUAAACAAUGACCAUACGUAACCUAGUCAUGUGUGAAUCCUGACUAUGGAGGGAGAUUAUCCUCAAACACGUACGGUUAUAUAUAUACAUGUCUUUUACCCACCCAUGCGUGCAGUACGGGUGGUGAACUCUGACCUCUAUGAAAUAAA